rnacentral:lncRNA from 1 species
UACACAGUUGGAAGGUGGAAGGGUUCCUGUCCAUGCAGUUGCCUUUCAAGAGCCUGAGAAUGAUCCUCGUAACUGCUGUUAUUUAUGGGCUGUUCAGUCCACACAAGAUAGGUCAGUAUGCCUGUGCUUCUAAGAAUUCAUCUCCUAAGGCUGAGGAUGUAGCAGCAAAGGAGUCACACUGCAACAGUUUGUUUCUUUUGAAAUGUUUGAAUUAUAUUGCCACUGCCAUGUACUUUGGUACUACACCUUGUGCUAUGUGUGCAUUGUAUCUGAUUCAUUUGGUACAAUGACUUCAUAUCCCUUUGUAAAGUCCUGUUCUUGUGUAGGGCUUGAUCUUUAUAAGUAAGAGUGUGGAGGACAUGUCUCCAAAGGCAUGUUCUCUGUAGUUGCCACGGGAUGAUUCUAUUCAUAUUUCUCUUGGCCAGGACUUAGUGCAAAGGAAGGUAGGAAAUGCUGUUGAUGUUUUAGGUAGCACUUACUGAAGGAGGAAUAUCUGAGAAAGAAUAUUGGGUUAAAAAUUGUGGUAGACUAUACCACAUGCUGCAUUAGUUACAUUUUAUACAAACAAAAUACAGCUGCGGUUUGCCAUAUGCAUUUUAUGUGUUAUGUAAAAAAUUGGGAGGAUGAGAUGUAAGCUGCAUGUUUUGGUUUCUUGAGUUAAUUUCUCUUUCUUCAGUGAAGGGGAUGUUUUGAGUUUGCAUCUGCUUCAGCUGGCUUUUGGUGAUAGAAAAUGUUUGGCAUCAGGGCAAAUUUUAUAUGAGGUAAGUGGUUAUUAGUCUAUUAUCCUUUUUUCUAUUUGGUGUUUUUUUAUUGUACUGUUACUCUUAUGUUCAAGUUAAUAACUGUAUUCUUCAUUAGUGGAAGAAACAAUAGUUUAGUGGCCUGAGCUUUCUAAGGGUUUCCACCUGGUUUGCUCUUGUAGCACUCUUAACUUUUUCUAGGUAUAUUCUUCCCCCAUAGCAGAGAAGCUGGACUAAAUUACCUAGUUGUAAUCCCAGGAGCUAUUCUCCUAACUUUGUUCUGACAUACCAACCAAGCACUUCAGGGUGUAUGCAUCAAAAUGCUCAGAUAGCAUAUUUUCCUAACUAAUAUUUUCAGUAUUAAAGAGGAGUGUUGGCCUAGAGAGAUGGCUCAGCAGUUAAGAGCACUGACUGCUCUUCCAGAGGUCCUUAGUUCAAUUCCCAGCAACCACAUGGCGGCUCACAACCAUCUGUAAUGGAAUCUGAUGCCCUCUUGUGUGUCUGAAGACAGCUACAGUGUACUCAUAUAAAUAAAAUAAAUC